ACACAAGAAACACGACAACUAAUUAAAUAGUGGUAAAUCCAUCAUAAUUAUUCAUACAUAAUUAUAUAGCAUAGAAAAGACAAAAUCUUUCAUUCGUCAUAUCGAGAUAAAAUGAGUGGAGUGCCAUGUUGUGGAUGCAAAGUCAAGAAAAAAAACGGCGCAUGGAGGUAAGAUGGCGAAAGUUCAAACUUGAAACGUUGCAGAAUCAUAGCCAACCCCAGUUUUGCUUCUGUCAUCGCAAAGCUCUGACCAAUACAAGUUCGAGAUCCAGCUCCGAAAGGAAAGAAGAUCAUCUUGUUCUUGGUUGCUUUAGAUAUGCCUUGGGAGAACCUCUCUGGUUUGAACUCUUUCACAUCGUCACCCCAGAGGGACGGAUCGUGGUGCAUGGUGAGUAUGGGCAACCGGAAUUCCAUUCCACUUGGAAAACUGUACCCACCUAUAUUCAUGGCGUGGUGAGCCAUUCGUGCCAGGAAUAAGACCGGAGGAUAUAAUCUGAGGACCUCGUAUAGGAUCAUUGUUACCUGAAUCAAUACAACAACACAAACAAUUCAAAAUCGACAAUCAGGUAAUGGAAAUAUAACAAGGUUGACUGAUUUCUUACGAUCUUCAACUGAUUCAUGUCGCUAAAAACAGGCUGUUUUCUUCCACAUACUUGUAAAACUUCUUGUCGAGCAAGAUGUUGCCAAUUUGGAUACAUACUCAAAACAACUAGCGUCCAGUUGAGUAAAACUGAAGUGGUCUCUUGUCCGGCAAAGUAGAACAACUUGCAUUCCCCUAUCAUUUCAUCUGUGGUGAUCCCUGUUGUUUCUUGAUUUGAAUUUGAAUCCAUUAAGAAACCCAACAAAUCAUCAUGACUAGCAGAGGAAGAAGUUGAAGCUGGGUUUGUUGCAAUCGACUGUUCUCGCUUCUUAAUGAUACCUCUCAACAAAUCACAAACCUCACUAUCGAUUUCCUUCCUUCUUCUGUUAUUUCUUGUUGGAACAAACCUGCAAACAAUCACUCACAAAAAAGAAUGAGAAUGAAUGAGAAUAAAUGAGACGAGAACAGUCUAUUCAUACCCAAACCGAUACUCACUUCAACCCAGGAAUGUAGAUGGAUCGAACGGCUUGAAUUAAAAGUUCGACUUGUUCGGUUUGGAGUUGGAAUAUCCUUCUUCCCUCCAGGUAACUACUACCGAAAGCUGAUCGGGAAAUGAUAUCUCCGGUCAGAUUUUCGAGUUCAGGCCAGACGUCUAGUUCCACUGAUUCUCCGCUGCCGAGAAGUUUUUCCCACCUAUCAAUCAAUUCGCUGCAACAACAAGAAAAUGCCCCAUACAUCUUCUGUUGUUCAAAAAAUUAGAAAUCAAUUGAAAAGAAGUAAAAAUAAAUAUCCUAAAUAAAUAAUCCAAUCGGAUGAAAGAUAACCUUCAAUUUGUCGACAUGAAAAACGGGAUUUAUAAUCUUUCUACGAUCGACCCACUUCUGACCUUGUAAAUUAACCAGACCGUUGAGAAGAUACCCUCCCAACGGAUGUAUCGGUGUCUUAUCGAUAUGUCCAGAUUUGUCGCACAUAAUUUCUCUUACAAGCUUUGGAUCCGUGACAAUAACUAUCGGAGAAGUACCCAACCACAAAUAACACAGCUUGCCACCGCAAUCUUCAACAACUUGACUGAAGAAGGGACUGGCUCUUCUUAAGAUGUCGUUUGAGAAAGGAGCUAUUGGUCUGGAUACAGCUUCUUUGGUUUGUUUGACCAGUUUCCGUAGAUCGCCGAAGAGAAUCGUGUACGGCGUUCCUUUGAUUCCUUGAGAUUGGAGAAGCUUCUCAAGCUUCUUGGGCUUCCACCAUAACCACUCUACUGUUCUUAGAAUAACUGUGCCGACACAUCCCACCAACAACAACAAACCCACAAACUCAGCAGACCAAAACUUCAUAAUCCUCCACACUCGAUCAGAGACUCAGAGUGAUAUGGAUGACUUUCCCGAGCUGAGUGAUACGUAUGAUCAUCACAUAUUUCUGCGGUGGCUAAAUAUCUAACGUUUGCUUCCAAAAAAAAUAAAUAAUAAUGAUAAAAUAAAAUAAAAAUCUAACGUAGUAACGUGUCAAAUUAUUCUUAUGAGAAUGGGUCCGGGUCGACCCACGAUUAAAAUUAUUUAAGGUUAUGGGUUUUAUUCUUCGAUAUUAAGGAUACAAUUUUCCGAGAUCGGGUUAGUCAGUCAUUUUUGAAGUUGGGUUUGAAUCGGUAUGAUUUUAAUAAACUGUUAAUACUUUGAAUAUGUGGUCGUAUGUUAUCGUGAUCAUUAAUAUUUAAUUUAAUAGUUAAAAUAAUAUACGAUGUAAAAUAAUACACUACACAAGAAACUAACACAUAAAUUGACAUGUUCACUUUGACACAUAUUAAAUUCGUUUUGUAAUUAAUAUAAAUCAUCAGAAUACUAUUGUAUUAAUAUAAAUCAUUAAAUAUUUGUAUUAGAGAUAUACCCUUGUAUUCCAGUAAAAAUUAUAAAUAUAAUUUUAUUGUAAAUAUUAAUCUCAUAUCCCUGAGAUUCAUAGAUAUUAGAAAUAUAACAUUAUGGUAAAUAUACAUUAUAUCGUGAAUAUUAAUCUUAACCCUAUAUUUAAUUUUAACUCCUCACAUUCCUUUUUAAGAAUUCUCAUUUAUAUUAAUUCCACAUCCAACAUAUUUAAUUCCAUAUUUGUAAUCAAUACUAAACACCAAUAUAAUCGUUGGGUGUUUACUAUUUAAACUAACCUUAACCUUUAUCAUAGAUCACGUUCUUACACUCUAUAAUCACUCAACACAAAAAGCGCUGAUCAUCUUCAACACAAUUGUUUGCCCACAUCACAACACAAUUGGAUCUUUAUCAAAUCUGCAAUCAUGCAUUGGAUCUUCAGCAAUUUUAAUUUAUACGGUUGAACUUGAAAAUUGCAGUACCUGAAAUAUAUGAAGCUCAGUAUCUCUUCGCUAUUUCGUUGUGCUCUGCCAUAGCUAACCAUGAAUUGUACAUUCUGACAGGCUUUUUACAAUAUACUCCUUGGUUGAAUAGCUACCGAUUGUGCGAGGUGGUUACUGUAUCCGUGUAAGAGAUUGGUAAAUAUAGAAGGCCAAGUCAAAUUCCAGUGACCAUUGGCCAAAGCCCGGUCAAUUCUACUAGCCCAGUAGUUCUGCCCAAUCCCACCAUUGCACCAAGUAUAAUAGUCCCCAACAUAGUCCAGCUUAGUCAGACCUGCUUGUGUGAUUGCACUGGCAAAGUAUGAAAGCAUUGAUCUGUUUCCUUGAGAUCAUAUAUCUACAUAUGUUGCUAGGAGGAUUUUGUUGAAGUCACCGAGCAAAAUCCAAUUUUCUUGCAAGAGUUCAGGAGUUAGAUAGACAAUAUCUCAAGCCCAUACUUCUUCUCUAAUUUCAACUUCAUUCUUACAAUAAACCACAGUCACAAACAGUGAUAGACCUCCCGUGUGUUUUAAUUUCAUGUGGAUUCGUUAGGUCUUCCUUCACACUGAUGAUUUCUGCAUCCCAAAUAAUUGGGUUCCAUAAGACCCAAAUUGAGCCCCCCUACCCAUUGGGUUUCAAUUCGAAAUAGAUGCCCAGUUUCUGCCAAAGAAGUCCUUAGUGAGUUGUUCAUUAACUUGCUUGAUUUUAGUUUCAAGCAAGCCUAAAAUUGCAACGUUGUAUUUAAAACAGUUUUUCUUAAUCUCAUUCUUCCUACUGUUCCUUACAUCCCUGCUGAUCAUUUUUUCUUUGGAGUUAGGUUGUCCGUCGUUUUUUCCACUGUGAUGCUUUGGAUUCGAGAUAUAGGCGAUCUUCCUUGUAGAGUGUGAUGAUUCUGGAUGGGCCGUACUCUUCUCAGCAGUCUGAUGUGGCAUCUUCUUCCUCCAGUAUCUGGCCAGUAGACCAAACAGCAGGGAUUCACUGUCAGGAAGAGGCAGGGAGACUCCUCUGUUUGGAGCUUGGUUCUAAACGCCUCCAGGUUUAUUUUAGGGUCAAGGAACAAUUGGCAAAGAUUAGCUAAUUGAUUAAAGGUCUUAAACAGACCUUAGUUAUCCAAACAGAGUCUGUAAAUGUAUUAACAUUAAAUUGAAUAAAGGAUGUGGAUUAAAUAAAUAAUUCCUACAGAACCUUUAAUCAAUUUAGUGUCAAGUUUCUAUGUGCAGGUAAAUUUCCCAGACUUAUAGAAACUUGAAAGUGUUGUAAAGAUAAUUGUUUAAAUAAAAGAAACGGGCCAAUAACUAAAAAUAUGGGCCAAAUUUAAAUUUAAAUUAGUUUAUGUAAAUAUAAAACAAUUGUAUUAUAAAUAACCCAACAGUGUAAACACUUAUUAUUUAAUUGAGAUUACAGCAAAUUACUUUAGGACCCCAUCUAAAGUACUAGAAAACAAAACCCAUAUGAAGUAUUUAACAAUCAAACACCAAAUUAUAAAAACUUAAAAAAUUUGGUUGUUUAUGUUAUGCAACAACCAACAUUAGAAAACACAAAUUUUUUCCAGAAAAUUUUAAAGGUAUUCCAUGAGCAAUCAUGUUUCCUAUCAUAGGGUAAGUAAACAACAAAAAUACUUUUUAAAACAAAUAACCUUACAUGAUGAGCCCAACUCUUUUAGUGAGGCUUCAAAAGACCCAAAAUGGGUUGAAACAAUGCAAAAAGAGAUGAAAGCGUACUCUCAUAGAGAACAAUUCAUGGACUUUAUCUGAAAUUCCAAAAGAUAGAAAAUCAAUAGGAUUUAAAUAGAUUUAUAAGUUAAAAUACAAGGCAAAUGAUGAAAUAAAAAGAUACAAAACAAGACUAGUAGUCAAAGGUUUUACACAAAAACAAAGUUUUGAUUUUUUGAAACCUUUGCACCAGUAGUCAAAAUGGUGACAAUUAAAUACAAUCAUAGAUGUACGUGGCAGCUAUGAAAAAUUGAAAUUUAUAUCAACUAGAUGUUAAUAAUGUAUUUUUUUCAUGGUGAAUUAAAUGAACAAGUAUAUUUAAGACUACCCCAUGGUAUAAACUAAACAAAUCAUUAUAUGGCUUAAAAUAAACUUCAAGGAAUUGGUUUGAAAAUUAAGAGGUGUUCUAUUGGAUAUUGGUUUUAGCCAAGCCAAAUCAGAAUAUUCUCUAUUUAUAAGAGAGAGAAAUCAAAAUAUUAUAUAUCUUCUAGUCUAUGUGAAUGACAUAAUAAUAACAUGGAGUAAUGAAUUAGAGAUUGACAUAAUUAAAAUUCAACUAGAAAAUGAAUUUAAACUAAAAGAUCUAAAAAGGUUAAACUAUUUUUUAAGUAUUAAAGUCUCAUACUCCAACAAAGGGGUUUAUCUCUUACAAAGAAAGUAUACUCUAGGAAUUCUAGAGGAUUGUGGGCACUCAGACGUUAAACCUUUCAAAAUACCCACGGAGAGACAUAUAAACCUAAAAGAUGAUAAAUCACCAAAAAUACAAAAUCCAACUUUUUAUAGAUAAAUAGUGGGAAAGCUCGUCUAUUUGAAUAUCAGAAGACCAUGCAUUAGUUUCUCAGUAAUUUAGUUAAGCCAAUUCAUGCAUGAGUCAAGAGAGAUACAUCUCUAAGUUCUAUUCAAGUUGAUUAGGUACAUCAAAAAUGCACCUGGUCAAAGGCUAAUAUACAAGAAAACUGAAAAUCUAACGAUACAAGGGUACUCUGAUCUGAUUGGACAUCAUGCCAAAUCAGCAGGAAGUUCUUAACUGGUUUUUGCAUUAUGUUGGAAGACUCACUCAUUUCAUGAAAAAAUAAGAAACAAAUAACAGUGGUAAGAUCAUCUCUUGAAGCUGAACAAAAUUAAACAUUAUUUCUUAUAAAUAGAAUGGACGGAUGACAAUUAAAAUCAAGAAAUCAUGAUUAAGAUUGAGUUUCUUAUUUUGAUUACUAACCCUAAUUAUGAUGAUGAAACUAACUCUAAUAAUAACAAUUUUAGCGGUUUGGACCCGAUUGUCCAGGUCCGUAUACUAGGGUACCGGUCCUGUAAGGACUAACAGGACCUGAGGUAUAUUAGUAAAUAUAUUAUAUAAAAUUAACAAUAUAAUUAAUACAUGCAAUCUUGCAUAAAUAAUACAUUACUAAUUUAUAUUUAAUUUUUUUAAUUUAAUGAGCCUUAACAAUUUAACAGAACACUUAUGCAAUUAAUCCAAAAAAAAUUAAUUUAAAUUUUUAGCCAAAUUAUAUAGAUAUAAUUUGAAAAAAUGAACGGUGUGAGAUCUUGACUAAUUUAGAUUACUUGAUUAGCAUAACUAUUUUGAUUAUAAUUUAUUAAUAGUUAUCUUAUUCUAAGUAUUAAUUAAUAUUAUUAACCUAUUAUUAUUUUUUUAAAUCCCUAUUUUUCCUAAACCCCGUAGUCCUUAAGCCCCUUACAAUGUCUGUCUGGGUCAGGUCCGGACCCAACAUUUUGUUUGCUGAACCUUAUAGUCUUACUGGGUCUGGGUCCACCAUAGAUCCGAACCGGGGUUAGUCUUUUGGUAAAACGUGAUUAGAAUCUAACUACACAAGAAACACGACCACUAAUUAAAUAGUGGUAAAUCCAUCAUAAUUAUUCAUACAAUUAUUUAUCACCAUUAUCUCGCAUAGAAAAGACAAAAUAUUUCAUUCGUCGAAUCGAGAUAAAAUGAGGGGAGUGCCAUGUUGUGGAUGCAAAGUCAAGACAGAAAACGGUGCAUGGAGGUAAGAUGGCGAAAGUUCAAACUUGAAACGUUGCAGAAUCAUAGCCAACCCCAGUUUUGCUUCUAUCAUCGCAAAGGUCUGACCAAUACAAGUUCGAGAUCCGGCUCCGAAAGGGAAGAAGAUCAUCUUGUUCUUGGUUGCUUUAGAUAUGCCUUGGGAGAACCUCUCUGGUUUGAACUCUUUCACGUCAUCACCCCAGAGGGACGGAUCGUGGUGCAUGAUGAGUAUGGGCAACCGGAAUUCCAUUCCACUUGGAAAACUGUACCCACCUAUAUUCAUGGCAUGGUGAGCCAUUCGUGGCAGGAAUAAGGCCGGAGAAUAUAAUCUGAGGACCUCGUAUAUAAUCAUGGUCACCUGAAUCAGAACAACACAAACAAUUCAAAAUCGACAAUGAGGAAAUGGAAAUAUAACAGGUUGACUGAUUUCUUACGAUCUUCAACUGAUUCAUGUCGCUAAAAACAGGCUGUUUUCUUCCACAUACUUGUAAAACUUCUUGUCGAGCGAGAUGUUGCCAAUUUGGAUACAUACUCAAAACAACUAGCGUCCAGUUGAGUAAAACUGAAGUGGUCUCUUGUCCGGCAAAGUAGAACAACUUGCAUUCCUCUAUCAUUUCAUCUGUGGUGAUCCCUGUUGUUUCUUGAUUUGAAUUUGAAUCCAUUAAGAAACCCAACAAAUCAUCAUGACUAGCAGAGGAAGAAGUUGAAGCUGGGUUUGUUGCAAUCAACUGUUCUCGCUUCUUAAUGAUACCCCUCAACAAAUCACAAACCUCACUAUCGAUUUCCUUCCUUCUUCUGUUAUUUCUUGUUGGAACAAACCUGCAAGCAAUCACUCACACAAGAGAAUGAAAAUGAAUGAGAAUGAAUGAGAACGAGAACAGUCUAUUCAUACAUACCCAAACCGAUACUCACUUAAACCCAGGAAUGUAGAUGGAUCGAACGGCUUGAAUAAAAAGUUCGGCUUGUUCAGUUUGGAGUUGGAAUAUCCUUCUUCCCUCCAGGUAACUACUACCGAAAGCUGAUCGAGAAAUGAUAUCCCCGGUCAGAUUUCCGAGUUCAGGCCAGACGUCUAGUUCCACUGAUUCUCCGCUGCCGAGAAGUUGUUCCCACCUAUCAAUCAAUUCGCUGCAACAACAAGAAAAUGCCCCAUACAUCUUCUGUUGUUCAAAAAAUUAGAAAUCAAUUGAAAAGAAGUAAAAAUAUAAAAAAAAAUCUUAAAUAAAUAAACCAAUCGGAUGAGAGAUAACCUUCAAUUUGUCGACAUGAAAAACGGGAUUUAUUAUCUUUCUACGGUCGACCCACUUCUGACCUUGUAAAUUAACCAGACCGUUGAGAAGAUACCCUCCCAACGGAUGUGACGGUGUCUUGCCGAUAUGUCCAGAUUUGUCGCACAUAAUUUCUCUUACAAGCUUUGGAUCUGUGACAAUAACUAUCGGAGAAGUACCCAACCACAAAUAACACAGCUUGCCACCGUAAUCUUCAACAACUUGACUGAAGAAGGGACUGGCUCUUCUUAAGAUGUCGUUUGAGAAAGGAGCUAUUGGUCUGGAUACAGCUUCUUUGGUUUGUUUGACCAGCUUCCGUAGAUCGCCGAAGAGAAUCGUGUACGGCGUUCCUUUGAUUCCUUGGGAUUGGAGAAGCUUCUCGAGCUUCUUGGGCUUCCACCAUAACCACUCUACUGUUCUUAGAAUAACUGUGCCGACACAUCCCACCAACAACAACAAACCCACAAACUCAGCAGACCAAAACUUCAUAAUCUUCCACACUCGAUCAGAGACUCAGAGUGAUACGGACGACUUUCCCGAGCUGAGCAGUGUGAUACGGAUGAAUAGAUGAUUAAAUAGCUAACGUAGUAACAUGUCGAAUUAUUUUUUUUAAAUGGGUCCGGGUCGACCCACGAUUAAAAUUAUUUAAGAUUGUGGGUUUUAUUCUUCGAUCUUAAAAUUAUUUAAGAUGAUCCUUCGAUUUUGGAUUUGGUUUUCGGAGAUUGGGAGAUUGGGUUAGUCAUUUAUUUUUCGAGUCGGGUACAUUCAUAGCGUCGAUUCUCAGCCAUUCGUAUAAUUUCAAGACCACAGGUACAUUUUUCGUCUUGUCUCAAUGCUGUAGAUGUACUCGCAGGCAGCCAUGCCUUUCGGAGGUAGAGUUCGACCGGAACUGGAAUCGUGCGAUCGGAGUCGCAUCCGAGGAUCUGAAAUCUCGUGAUCGGAGUCGCAUCCGAGGAACUGGAAUCGCGAUGUCGGAACCGCGGUUUCAUUCCGCAGACAGAAUCGUGGUUCCGUCUUCGCAGAAUCGCGGCAUGGGUGCAUUGUUUGCGGAAUCACGGCACAUUGGGUUUUCGAAUGUCCGAUACGAAGUUCAUACCUGCUACUGUUUAGCAUAUGGAUCCACGCCCCGGAAUUCUGCCAUUACGUUUCUCACCCCACGUAGAUGCAGUACUAAACAACGACCAUACGAGUUCGAUCCUCAUUCAUCCGGACAACCAUCCGCAAUGGACAAGAGCUGCGGACGUCCGCACAGAAAGGGAGCUGGUGUAUAUUAAUAUAGGGUACUCUUGUGUCAUAUUUUGAAUGUGUCACUGUAUUAUCAAGUCGUGAUAUUUAAUGACUAAAAUAAUUUACUAGAAUGAUAGUAUCAUUUUACCACCUGAGUUAAUCAAUAAAGAUAUUGAAAAAAUAAUAUGAAGGGGAGAAGUUAUUGAAGACCAUCAAAUAGAAGAAUUGAAUUAGCUCAGAAGAGUCAGAAAAUUCAGAAGACUCAGAAGAAGAAGAUCUGCAAGAAACAAUUCAGAAUACAGAAGACUCAGAAGAAAAAAGAUUUGCAAGAAUCACAGGCCAAUAUAACUCAAGUAAGAUCGGUAAGAGAGAAGAAGAUUAAUUCCAAGCAAGCUCAAAGAUUUUAUCCUUUAUUAAGAAGAAUUAGUCAGUAGUUUUUUUUUUUUAAGCAAUUAGUUAGUAGUUAAUUAGAAGUAAUUGGUAUAAAAAAUAAAUGUAAUAAACAAAUGAAUUUAUAAUCAUUUGUUUAGUUGUGUUUUUAAUUCAAUACUCUAAUAAAUGUAUCAACAGGUGAAGAUUAUACUCACUUGUUUAGUUUCUUUUAUUUUCAGCACAAUCUGUAAAUCCCUAUAUAUAUAAGGCACCAUUUGCAUUUUUGAAAGAUAUAAAUAUACGAGUAUACCUGUAUAUUUACUCAACUGAAUUACAAUUCUAUUACAGAGAGUUAGGAUUGUAGAGAACUGAGUGAUAUUGGAUUGUUGAGCUUGGAGUUGCCUCGAAGAUUCCCCUGUCCAAGCGCGUUCCAGAGUUGAAGAUUGGUUGCUGGCCAAAGCAUCCUUUUGUAUUGCCUGCAUUCCGUUCUUGAAGAGCCAUCUCUUCCCCAUUUGCCUUCGUCUCUCAAUCUUAGAGCGAUUCCGGUCUGUAGAUCGGACACAAGAAUCAGAACUCAGGUUAUUCUAUUUCCUUUUAAGCUUCCAGUCCUUGAAUCUAAGAUCUUUCCCGAUCUUGAGAUCGGGACAUUUCAUCUUUUAAAGGCCAAAUUUUUGCCUUUUUGAUUUACCUAAUUAAUGAUUGUUAUAUACUACUGAAAAUUAGAAUUGGGUUAAAAAUAUUGUUGUUAGACUUAAGCAUUCCUGUUAAUCAUAAGAUAUGAAUUUUAAAUAUCUAUCAUACACUAACACAUGUACGACGUAAAAUAAUAUACUAUAAAAGACACUAACACAUAUACGAUCUAAAGUUUAUUUAAUGAACAAGUUCAUUGUAUUAAUAUGAAUUAUUAGAUAUAUAUUUGAAUUGACAAAUUAACAUUUUGGUCAAAUAUAUAUUAUUUCUAAUUUCUAAUAUUUAUAAGUUAAAUAUAAGUUAUGAUCAUAAUUCCUAAAUGAUAUUUAAAAUUGAAAAUAAACAGAUAUUAUAGUAUAAAAUUUCUAAGGUCAACCGACUCAAUGAGUCUAGAAUUUUGGAUCCAAGUUAGGAGUUUAUAUAUGAUGACCGGAGCUUGGAUCAAAGUUCAAAUCUCUUAAAUCGGGCGGACCUCAGAUGACGACCGACCAAUCCCGGCUCACCCCACCCGUUCUAGCACGACUCAAGAUUCAAAUUUUCAUUCAUUUGUUUUUAGGGUUUUAAGCUAAUAGUUAAUGGUAGGAGUGAAAAACGGGUCGGGUCACCCUAGUUCCGCCCGGGUGAUAACCGAGGUCGGGGCAGGAGGAAACCCAGGAGGGUCGCCCCGGUUUCUAAAUUUAAAAAAUACAAAAAGUUAAAAAUAAUUUUUUUAGGCUCAGGGCUGUUAGGAGUUAGUAGUUAGUGUGACCUGUCCAUUUUAGAUUUUAUGAGUUAGAAAUUUGGGAUUUAGGUUUUAGAAUUUAGGGUAAAAAAAUUAAAAUCAGAUACUCCUGUCGUGUUGCAGACCUACAGUGCUGUUGCUUCGGUGCUUCCAUCUGCUUCUUGGCGAUUUCUUCCAUCUCCUACAGGCUACAGAUACAGUAUUUAGUCGAGAUAUUUUGUUGCGAAUUUGCUAUGUUUCUUUUAUUUCUUCUACCUUCGGUUAAGGGUAAGAACGGGACGGGUCGCCCUGCGCCCCGGUGGUAACCGGGGAUGGGGCAGAUAUUCUGCCUCGUUUUUUCAUUUUUGCCCCAUUGUCCCGUGCCCCACUGCCCCGGUCAUAUUCCGGGACGGGUCUCGGAGCAAGGCGAACCCCGGACGGGUCGCCCCGGUUUUUAAAAUUUUUUUUUUUUUUUAUUAAUUUAAAUUAUAUUAGAUAUCUAAUUUUUAAAAUUAUUUUAAAAAAAAAAUCAAGGUAAAAAGUUUACCCAUUUUAUAUUUUAGAUUUAUUUUUAUAAUUCAGGCAAGGCGCCGUUCCACGCCCCGCCCGCGACCCGUCCCGUUCUCACCCCUACCUUCGGUGUUUCUUUUCUUGAAUCUGAAUUUUUUUUUCUUUUCUUAUUAUUUAGUUGCGAUAAUACCAGCUAAUCUGCUAUGCGCCUAUGUCUAUAGUUUUCUUAUAAUUUCAAUAGAUUCCUAGUAAAAAAAUCGACAAUCCUGGUUCCUUUUUAAAAUGGACGGAUGUGAUAGAAGAGGGUUCUCAUAAAAAACCCUUUUUACUUGAUACGGGGUCGUAAUUUUAUAUUGCAAGUUUUUUUAAAAUUUUUAUUUUGCAGGGCAGGGACAGGGACAGGUCGCUCCGAAUCCGCCCCAUUCCACAUCUCAUUAGUUGACUUUUUGACAAAAUUUAUUUUAUAAUAACUUUUAUUAAUGAAAUUGCAGAAAAAUAAUAAAUAAGAUUUAUUUGAAAUUUCAAAUAUUUUUGGAGAAUUCAAAUUCAAAUUCCAAUUUUAAAAUAUUGAUCUCCCUGCUUUUAAUGGACCAGCGGCCAGCCCAAUCAAACUAUCAUUCUCUUACAAUAUAUAUUCACAGUCCUUCACCUGCCUCGAGACCCGUCCCGAAAUAUGACAGAGGCAACGGGACAAAAAAAUAAAACAACCCCUAGUUACCACCGAGACGCGAAACUAGACGGGACCGAGGCGGGUCGCCCCGUUGUCACCUUUAACUAUGAUAGUAAAAGUCAAAAUAAAAACUCAUCAAGGUCCGAAGAGAAUUCUAUUCAAAAUAAAAAAUUAGAGAACGGAAUAUCUGAAAAAACAAAGAUAUCAAACUCUAAUGUUAAAAGUUCAGUUAUACCUGAUGUUCAAAACAAAGGAAGAAUCAAUUUAUACUCAGACCAUGAGAAAAAUUCAGAAUAUUUGGAUAAAAAGAAAAAUAAACCAUCUCAACACACAAACUCAAAACAAUAUGAUCAAAAAGGUCAUAGUAAUUCAGGAAAGUAUGAAAAACAUAAGGAAAGGUUGUUAAAAGAAAGUUUUCUAGAAGAUUUUGAAACAAAUAGAUCUAAUAAAGAUGCUCAAAACUAACAUCAAAAUAGUAAAACUUAUGAAAAUAUGCAGAUUAUUGGAAAUAUUAACAAUAAUCCAGAAACAAAAUCAGUAGAACCAAACUUAGACACUUAACAAACUCAGAGCCUAAGUUUGGGAGUUGGAACGUCUAUGGAUUAAACAAUCGUGUGAGAAAAGACGAGAUUAUGAGGUUUGCCAAGAAAUUCAAGUUGGAUCUAUUUGACCUAUAUGAGACCAAAAUAAACAAGAUCAACUUCGCACAUUAUAGUAAGAUUUUUGGACAAAAUUUCUCGGUGAUAUCAAACAGGGCCGAAACAGACAUACGAUCGGACUCUAUCUGGUUGGUAUGGGAUGUGAACAUGUGAGAGAUUGAGAGCACCAUCUUGCACGAUCACUUCAUACACUGCUUUGCCAAAAACAAAAGGGGGGAUUAACCAUACAUGUCACGCUAGUUUAUGCCUCAACCGACUGCCAAAAGAGGGAUAAAAGGUGAUGUCAGAGUUUUCCCUUGGAAAAGAAAAAAAGGCCAUGGAGCAUACCACGGUUUUUACACUCCUCAUUGUUUUAGGCUCACUACGUAAGAACGAUUAGGCAUAGAUCGUUUUAGGAAACAUUGAAUCAGUUCCCCAAAGGUUGUUGAAGGUCAAUCGAUCAUAAGAUCACGUGGCUGGAUCAAUGUGGAGGGCGUGAGGUGGGUCGCAUGUGAUCACUCUUCCUUUUUUGUUUUAAAAUUUAUAUAUUAUCAGAUAGUUUUAACUCAAAAAAAAAAACCUAAGUUAUCAUUUCAAAAGAAAAAUCCCUUGAAUACACAAGGAAUAUGGAUAUCAGUUCUGAUCAUCCUGAAGACAGCCCAAAAGAAAUUUUUUUAGCAAUACUCUGGACAAUAAUGCUAGUUGUUCAGAGAAUAACUCAAAAGGUAAAUCUUCUGAAUUUACAGAAGAAAAUAACAUAGAAACUAAUCAACAAAAGAACAGUCCAGGGGUCUAAAAACAACAAAUAAAGAAAUAUCUCAAAAUGAAACAAAUCAGAGAAUUAGCUUACAUGGUAGGAUGAUAAUAAAAUCAAAACAAUUCCAAGACUAUUAUCUUGAGAAUGAAAAAGAUUAUCAUGUGCCAAAAUAUUCCAUGAGCAAUCAUGUUUUCUAUCAUAGGGUAAGUAAACAACAAAAAUACUUUUGAAAACAAAUAACCUUACAUGAUGAGCCCAACUCUUUUAGUGAGGGUUCAAAAGACCUAAAAUGGGUUGAAACAAUGCAAAAAGAGAUGAAAGCGUACUCUCAUAGAGAACAAUACAUGGACUUUAGCUGAAAUUCCAAAAGAUAGAAAAUCAAUAAGAUCUAAAUGGAUUUAUAAGAUAAAAUACAAGCCAAAUAGUGAAAUAGAAAGAUACAAAACAAGGUUAGUAGCCAAAUGUUUUACACAAAAAGAAAGUUUUGAUUUUUUUUGAAACCUUUACACUUGUAGUCAAAAUGGGGACAAUUAAAACAAUCAUAGUUGUGGAAGCUAUAAAAAAUUGGAAUUUAUAUCAACUAGAUGUUAAUAAUGCAUUUUUUUCAUGGUGGAUUAAAUGAAGAAGUAUAUUUAAAACUACCCCAUGGUAUAAACUAAACAAAUCAUUAUAUGACCUAAAUUAAACUUCAAGGAAUUGGUUUGAAAAUUAAGAGGUGUUCUAUUGGAUAUUGGUUUUAGCCAAGCCAAAUCAGAAUAUUCUCUAUUUAUAAGAGAGAAAAUCAAAAUAUUAUAUAUCUCCUAGUCUAUGUGAAUGACAUAAUAAUAACAGGGAGUAAUGAAUUAGAAAUUGACAUAAUUAAAAUUCAACUAGAAAAUGAAUUUAAACUAAAAGAUCUAGAAAGGUUAAACUAUUUUUUAGGUAUUAAAGUCUCAUACUCCAACAAAGGGGUUUAUCUCUUACAAAGGAAGUAUACUCUGGGAAUUCUAGAGGAUUAUGGGCACUCAGACGUUAAACCUUUCAAGAUACCCACGGAGAGACAUAUAAACCUAAAAGAUGAUAAAUCACUAAAAAUACAGAAUCCAACUUUUUAUAAAUAAAUAGUGGGAAAGCUCAUCUAUUUGAAUAUCAGAAGACCAUGCAUUAGUUUCUCAGUAAAUUAGUUAAGCCAAUUCAUGCAUGAGUCAAGAGAGAUCGAUACAUCUCUAAAUUCUAUUCAAGUUGAUUAGGUACAUCAAAAAUGCACCUGGUCAAGGGCUAAUAUACAAGAAAACUGAAAAUCUAACGAUACAAGGGUACUCUGAUCUGAUUGGACAUCAUGCCAAAUCAGUAUGAAGUUCUUAACUGGUUUUUGCAUUAUGUUGGGAGACUCACUCAUUUCAUGAAAAAAUAAGAAACAAAUAACAAUGGCAACAUCAUCUUGGCAAUAUAGAGCACUCAAAUUUGACAGGUAUCAAGAAGUGCAUGCCCGGUUUGAUGAUGAGCGUGACAGUUGGACAGAUGCAUGUCGCGAUUUUAUGUUGCACCCACGACUAUUUAAGAACGGGAUUGUCUUGAAGUCCGAAAAAAAGAAUAUUGUAUCAACACAUAACACAUGCUUACUUAAAUAGUUAUUUGGUCACGUAAUAGACCAUCGUCUUUGUCCCUUUCAACACUGACCGUUGCUGUCACUGUGCCGGUUUUAGAAUGGGGGACAGUGGGACAGGGAUUUCUUCCUUGAUGGGACGGUUUUAGAAAACAAAAUCAAACAUUAUUUUUUAUAAACAGAAUAGACGGAUGACAAUUAAAAUCAAGAAAUCAAUGAUUAAGAUUUUGUUUCUUAUUUUGAUUACUAACCCUAAUUAUGAUGAUAAAACUAAUCCUAAUAAUAACACUUUUAGCGGUUUGAACCCGAUUGGCCAGAUCCGUAUACUAGGAAGCCGGUCUUGUAAGUACUAACAGGACCUGAGGUACAUCAGUAAAUAUAUUAUAUAAAAUUAACAAUAUAAUUAAUACAUGCAAUCUUGCAUAAAUAAUACAUUACUAAUUUAUAUUUAAUUUUUUUAAUUUAAUGAGCCUUAACAAUUUAACAAAACACUUAAGCAAUUAAUCCAAAAAAAAUUAAUUUAAAUUUUUAGCCAAAUUAUAUAGAUAUAAUUUGAAAAAAAUGAACGGUGUGAGAUCUUGACUAAUUUAGAUUACUUGAUUAGCAUAACUAUUUUGAUUAUAAUUUAUUAAUAGUUAUCUUAUUCUAAGUAUUAAUUAAUAUUAUUAACCUAUUAUUAUUUUUUUUAAUCCCUAUUUUUCCUAAACCCCGUAGUCCUUAAGCCCCUUACAAUGUCUGGGUCAGGUCCGGACCCAACAUUUUGUUUGCUGAACCUUAUAGUCUUACUGGGUCUGGGUCCACCAUAGAUCCGAGUCGGGCUUAGUCUCUAGUUAGAACGUGAUUAGAAUCUAACUACACAAGAGACACGACCACUAAUUAAAUAGUGAUAAAUCCAUCAUAAUUAUUCAUCAUCAUUAUGUCCGAAUAGAAAAGACAAAAUCUUUUAUUCGUCAUAUCUAGAUAAAAUGAGUGGAGUGCCAUGUUGUGGUUGCAAAGUCAUGAUAGAAAACGGCGCAUGGAGGUAAGAUGGCGAAAGUUCAAACUUGAAAUGUUGCAGAAUCAUAGCCAACCCCAGUUUUGCUUCUGUCAUCGCAAAGGUCUGACCAAUACAAGUUCGAGAUCCAGCUCCGAAAGGGAAGAAGAUCAUCUUGUUCUUGGUUGCUUUAGAUAUGCCUUGGGAGAACCUCUCUGGUUUGAACUCUUUCACAUCGUCACCCCAGAGGGACGGAUCGUGGUGCAUGGUGAG
rnacentral:lncRNA from 1 species